AUACAUAUUUUACUGUUUUAAAAUUUGUUUUUAUAUAGAAUUAUUUUCAUAAGGAAGUAGUGUGAUAUUUAAUGUGAUAUUUUUUAUUUAUUACAUUUGGAAAUUGCUAAAAUCAAAUUCUGUUGUGCCGCAUUAUCAAUUGAUUAUUUCACUGAAACUGUUAUUAUUUUUACAAAAAUUUCAAUGUUUUUUAAUUUUGGAAUUUUCAAAUAGUUUUCAUUAGAUUAUAACAUAUGUGUAUGUGUCUAUGUGUAUAACACAUAGACACAUACACAUACAGUCAGAUUUAUCAGUUUGUAUUUUUUAUUAAGAGUUAUUAUAACAAACUAUUACACAAAAUGCACAAUACAUUAUACGUACAUGUAUUAUACGGCACUAUAGCGAUGUAUUCAUUAAAAAAUAUGUUUCUACAUUUUCUUGAAAGUUAAAGAGAAAUUCUCAUAUUUUCUAGCUUAAUAACAAUAUUAUUAAAAAUGAUUACAAAUUUGUCAAUUAUGUAAUGUAACUUGAUUUACUGUUAUAAAUUGAAUAAUAAAAAAUAUAAAUUUAUUAAAUAAUAAAAAUAUUAACUUAACAAUCUCUAGAAAUUUUUUUUGCUGUUUUAAACUUUUUGAAUUCCAUUUUAUUGCACGUUUAUUGUAAGUAUUCUUUUAAGUAUUGUUUUAUCAAUUCUUCUUUUUAUUUUUAAAAAUCAAUGUGCGUCCCUGCAAUGUACAAGUACAUCUCAAGUUCAUAAAAUUGUCUGGCAUGUACGUCGUAACUAUCGUCGACAAUUGCAGUAAAGUUUUUGCUAUAGAAAGUUUGAAAUUUUAAUAUUUUCCUUUCAUCCUAGCGACGAGUAGACAUGCGCAUUCUGUAGGAUAAUCCUACUUUCUACUCAUCCAAUACUUGGAGAUACGAUGUACGAUCAUACAUGUACGCGCACGCAAUUAUAGUAGUAUGUCAUAGCAUCACGGCGGUGACAGAUGCUUUCGACAAGUCGUGCUCUAAUAACAGUCUGUUUUCUCCGUUGCCUGGGAUGAUGCCCCUCAACAUUCAUCGUUAGUUGAGUGACAAGCAAAGAAGGACAUGAAAAAUGUGAGCAGUUAUGCAUAUAAAAAAUAUGCAACAAUUCAAGGAAGGCCAAACAUCAUGAAUCAACAAAUCGAAUAAGUGUUUAAAACGUUUCUAAUUUCAAACAGUGUCACAAGUGUUUUAUGAGACAAAAUAAUUUGUAAAUUUUUUCAUUUAUCCUUAACUAAUCCCUGUAUCUUUUAGAGGCAUCAAAUAUUUUUAUCUGCUCCCAUUUCCGAGAAAAAAGUUAAAAGAUCUAAAUUGAAUGCAUCAACUUAAUAAUACAUAAAUAAAUAAAUAAUACAAAUAUGUAAUAUGUUAGAAUUUUAUAAGAACAUAUAAGAUGAUAUGGUUAUUAUUUAGAAAAUAUAAAAUUUGUUUUAUUGUAUGUGUGUAUAACAGGAUAUGUUUUAGUUUUAAUAUUUCUUUAAUUUACAAUUAAAUUUGUAUCCGAUUUGAACUGCUUAUAAUUCUUAAAUAAGAAAACAGAUCGAUUAUUUAGUAUUUCACUUUUAUUCUGAUUUUUAACUUUUAUUACAUUAUUUAUUAGAAAAUAUCAGACAAAAGAUCCCCUCCGGCGCAGAUAAUUUUGUUACUACAACAAGUGCUAUCGGAAAAGGGAUUGCAGACCUUUUAAUGUCUGAAUUGAAAGAAUUGGGAGAGGAUGUGUGAUUCUAACAAGAUGAUACCACAUGUCACACGACAUAUAAGAUAAUUGGGAUUUUUAAAGAUAUACAUCUUGAACGUUUAAAUUCUCAUUUUGGUAAUUUGACAUGGUGGAGAUCUUCUGAUUUAGCUGUUUUUGAUUUUUUGUGGAGAUACUUGAAGGAUAGAGCUUAUACAAAUUAUGGACAUUGGAGGAGCUAAAAAGAGAUGUUUAUCAAGAAAAAGAGAACAUAAGCUCAGAAAUUUUAAACUGUCAAGAAAAAUGCAAAAGAGAAAAAAUUACUAUAAAUAAUGAAGAAAGAGGGUUAUUUGUCUGCUAUUAUUUUCAACUGAGUAAUAUAACAAAAGUUAAAAAUACAGAAAAUAAAAAGAAAUACCAUUUUUCGAUCAAAGCAGAUCUUCGUGUUUAAUAUUUUUAUAUUAAUUAUUAAAUAUAUUUUUUAGUUCCAUAAACUGCGUGGCAAUAUAUUUGCCGGACUUCAAAAACGUAAUCAUAAACUGAAAUAGUAAUAAUAUCUUAAAUUAAUUUAAACGUCGAAUUUAAUAAUGCUACAAACAUCUUAAAAAAACUAUAAAGAACUUAUAAAGUUAAAAAUCUGAAUCAAAAUAAAACCUAAAAUACUUAUUGUUAGUUACUUUUUGUUUAUUUAAAAAUUGUAGGCAGUUCAAAUUGAAUGCUUACUUUAGUCAUCUUGUUUAUAUGUAAAUUUAUUUUUGUCCACAUAUUCAAUAGGAAUAAGUUAAUAAACUAUACAAAUAACGUUAUUUAAUCAUAUCUAAUAAAUGUGACAAAUUUUAUCAAUAUUUAAUAUCUCAUUAAUUUUUACUGGAUCACAUACAUGACAAUGAGUAUUCAAUAAGAGCUGUACAAAUAUAAUAUACAUUAAUAAUAAUAUAUAUAAUAAAAGAUAUUUGCUCAACAA